rnacentral:lncRNA from 1 species
GUUCAAGCAUUUUAGCGCGAAGCAACUUUCUAGCGUGACCGCUCUUCAGGAAGGCACAGCGGCGGUACUCUUGUCUUUGUGUGAAAGUUUUGGACACUCAGUGCGCCGCACUUCAGCGAAUGCCCAGCAUUUCCAUUGCUGACGAUCUGCAGUCAGCCUACAGUUACGGUCAUGUAUGCUGUCAUCAGGUUUCGUAAGGACGGUUCUGUUGCCGUCGUCCCAACAAACUGGCUGUUAAAAAAAAGAACACUGUGCCUGUGGCCAACUUCACUAAGUUCAGAUGAUUUAACAAGGGCGGUAAAACGACGAACUCACCAACAUGGUUCCGCCACAUCCAUCUUCAAGGUGAAAGUCCUCAAAACUACAGUAACGUACGAAGAAGCUCGGCGAAAGUUGCCUGAAGCGGAAAAAACAGACGAUAUAAACACGACGGACCAAGAAAAAGGACGUGGCAAGCGGCGUAAGUACGCACGGAUAUUGAGCUCACCUGAUCACUCUGAGGAGGAACACCUUUUCAG